ACCUGCAGCCGAAUCUACUAACCUCAUCAUUCUGUUUGUGGCCGUCACAAUAGAAAGACAAACAUGUACAAGGUUACUGCUGUCAUGCUCCUGCUUGCUUUGUUUGCUACAGCCACUUGUUCCGCGCAAGAAACCAGAGUGGAGCAACCAAUCGAUAAACGACAUUUUAUAGUCUGUCAAGGGCUGUGGCAAAAUUGCCUAUACAACCGAUGUUGCAGUUUCUUCAACUGCAACUCUCAAUCUGGAAUUUGCGAGUAUUAUUAAAGAAAUGUUUGGAACACCAAGCUUCAACCGUUUCCUGGUGUACAUUUCAAAUGAGAUAUAGUUUUCAUUAAUGAUCUAACGAUUUUGAUUGUGUUUAAGUUCAUCACAACACUGAUUAAAAUUGUUUAUUCCAUUAAUUACGUUUGUUGGUUUCGCUGCUAUACCUGGUGUAUUUAUUUAGUGCAUUAUUUUUUUCUUGAGGGUUUGAUUAAAAUGAAACAAAAUUUACAAAAAAUAAAAUUAUCCUCCACCCAACACCCUCCCACCCAUCCGCACUUAUUUACUUGUAUGGAGACUGUACUAGAUAUCGGACAGACGAAACUGUAAAUGAUAUUUCGACAUAGUUUAAUCAGUAAUCCAUAACAUUCAACAUUGAAUGAAUAUUUUGUAUGAUUAAAAAAUGCAUACAGGAAUAACUUGAAAAUGUUUUCUAUGUAAAACUAUAACAUACAUGAAAAUUUUUUUCUCGACAAGUAUUACUACAUUCAUAAUGGGAUGAAUAUCUUGUAUGAUUAAGAAAUACAAAGAGAUAUUAAUUUGAAAUGGUUUUCUAUGUAAA